rnacentral:rRNA from 1 species
GACGAACGCUGGCGGCGUGCUUAACACAUGCAAGUGGAGCGACGAAGCGGGCUUCGGCCCGUGGCAGAGCCGCGAACGGGUGAGUAACACGUGGGUAACCUGCCCCGAUGACCGGGACAACCCGAGGAAACUCGGGCUAAUACCGGAUGUGGUCCUUCCACAUGAGUGGAUUGACUAAAAGAUAGCUUCGGCCUUCGCAUCGGGAUGGGCCCGCGGCGCAUUAGCUUGUUGGUGGGGUAACGGCCACCAAGGCGACGAUGCGUAGCUGGUCUGAGAGGACGAUCAGCCACACCUGGGACUGAGACACGGCCCAGACUCCUACGGGAGGCAGCAGUGGGGAAUCUUGCGCAAUGCGCGAAAGCGUGACGCAGCAACGCCGCGU